rnacentral:rRNA from 1 species
UGAGGAAUAUUGGUCAAUGGGCGCAAGCCUGAACCAGCCAUCCCGCGUGAAGGAAGACGGCCCUAUGGGUUGUAAACUUCUUUUGUACAUGAAGAACGUCUCUUACGUGUAAGAGAGUGACGGUAAUGUACGAAUAAGCAUCGGCUAACUCCGUGCCAGCAGCCGCGGUAAUACGGAGGAUGCAAGCGUUAUCCGGAUUUAUUGGGUUUAAAGGGUACGUAGGUGGCCAGUUAAGUCAGUGGUGAAAACCUGUCGCUCAACGAUAGGCGUGCCAUUGAAACUGAUUGGCUUGAGUACAGAUGAGGUAAGCGGAAUGUGUAGUGUAGCGGUGAAAUGCAUAGAUAUUACACAGAACUCCGAUUGCGAAGGCAGCUUACUAAACUGACACUGACGCUGAGGU